rnacentral:tRNA from 1 species
AAAAAAUUAGUUAAACAAAUAACAUUAGCAUGUCAAACUAAAAUUAUCAAUGAAUUGAUAUUUUUUA